GUUACGCAAAUUUGUAUGCAGUUGGAACGUUUGCCUACGUUUGCCGCUAGGGGCGCUGUUCCAACUAAAUACAAAUUUGAGUUA
rfam:Bombyx mori DNA, contig: Bm_scaf71_contig31043, strain: p50T/Dazao, build 2, whole genome shotgun sequence.